rnacentral:rRNA from 1 species
UGGGGAAUCUUCGGCAAUGGACGAAAGUCUGACCGAGCAACGCCGCGUGAGUGAAGAAGGUUUUCGGAUCGUAAAACUCUGUUGUUAGAGAAGAACAAGGACGUUAGUAACUGAACGUCCCCUGACGGUAUCUAACCAGAAAGCCACGGCUAACUACGUGCCAGCAGCCGCGGUAAUACGUAGGUGGCAAGCGUUGUCCGGAUUUAUUGGGCGUAAAGCGAGCGCAGGCGGUUUCUUAAGUCUGAUGUGAAAGCCCCCGGCUCAACCGGGGAGGGUCAUUGGAAACUGGGAGACUUGAGUGCAGAAGAGGAGAGUGGAAUUCCAUGUGUAGCGAUGAAAUGCGUAGAUAUAUGGAGGAACACCAGUGGCGAAGGCGGCUCUCUGGUCUGUAACUGACGCUGAGGCUCGAAAGCGUGGGGAGCAAACAGG